UGGCCCCUACGGGAGGCGGCAGUGAGGAAUAUUGGUCAAUGGCCGGAAGGCUGAACCAGCCACGCCGCGUGAAGGACGAAGGUGCCAAGCAUUGUAAACUUCUUUUGUCAAGGGACAAAAUCAGGCUCGAGAGCCUGACCGAGGGUACUUGAAGAAAAAGCAUCGGCUAACUCCGUGCCAGCAGCCGCGGUAAUACGGAGGAUGCGAGCGUUAUCCGGAUUUAUUGGGUUUAAAGGGUGCGUAG
rnacentral:rRNA from 1 species